UACGAAGGGGGCUAGCGUUGCUCGGAAUCACUGGGCGUAAAGCGCACGUAGGCGGCUUUCUAAGUCAGGGGUGAAAUCCUGGAGCUCAACUCCAGAACUGCCUUUGAUACUGGAGAGCUUGAGUCCGGAGGAGGUGAGUGGAACUCCGAGUGUAGUGGUGAAAUGCGUAGAGAUCCGGAGGAACCCCAGAGGCGAAGGCGACGCCCUGGCUCGUACCUGACGCUCAGCCACGAAAGCAUGGGGAGCGAACGGG
rnacentral:rRNA from 1 species